rnacentral:lncRNA from 1 species
AAGAGGGGAAGGAGAAGGAGUAAGAGGAGAAAGUUAGAUGGUGAGGUAAAUACUGGUGGGUGCCAUGGAGGUUAGUGGGUGACAGGUGUCUGUCAUGCAUUACGAUGAUAUUGAUGAUCAUCGAUAUAUGUGUGAUAUCAGUGUUGGUGAUGAUGAUGGCAAAAUUUAGAAGAGGAGAAGGAAAGAGGAAGAGAAAUAAGAAGAGGAGAAGGAAAGAUGAAGACAAAUAGAAGGAGAAUGAAACCUCAAAAGAUGAAAAUAAUUUGGAGUGAUGAUAAUGGCACAGCGCCUAGUCAACAAUGAGAACAAAAAAAAACGUAAAUGAAAAAGAAAAUGAAGACGAGGAGGAAAAAGGAGAUUCAAUUUUCCAUUUUGUCAAUGAAUAUCACUGAUAAACAUUUAUCCAUAUAUUUAUGGCUGUUGGUACUUACAC